GGGAUGAUUUUGGCUUCUGUCAGGUCAUAUCCAGGCAUCCGCCUGCAAGACCUUUCCGGCGUUCACUUGUCGAUAGGAGGAGCAGGCAUUUUACUUUGAAAAAAUUAGAGUGUUUAAGGCAGGCAAUUGCCCGCAUAUAUUAGCAUGGAAUAAUAGAAUAGGACACUUUUCCAUUUCGUUGGUUAUUGGAAUCGUGUAAUGAUUAAUAGGGACAGUUGUGGGCAUUUGUAUUUAAUUGUCAGAGGUGAAAUUCUUGGAUUUAUUAAAGACAAACUAACGCGAAAGCAUUUGCCAAGGAUGUUUUCAUUAAUCAAGAACGAAAGUUAGGGGAUCAAAGACGAUCAGAUACCGUCCUAGUCUUAACUAUAAACUAUUCCGACUCAAUGUUCGACUGGCUUAUAUAACCAGUUGAGCGUUGUAUGAGGAAUCAAAGUCUUUAGGUUCUGGGGGGAGUAUGGUUGCAAAGCUGAAACUUAAAGGAAUUGACGGAAGAGCACAACCAGGAGUGGAUUCUGCGGCUUAAUUUGACUCAACACGGGGAAACUUACCAGGUUAAAACAAUAGUGGGAUUGACAGUUUGAGAGCGCUUUCUUGAUUCGUUGGGUGGUGGUGCAUGGCCGUUCUUAGUUGGUGGAGUGAUUUGUCUGCUUAAUUGCGUUAACGAACGAGACCUUAACCUGCUUACUAGACUAUUGAUGUAUAAUCGGUAGCUCUUCUUAGAGGGACUUUGGUUGUUUUAACUCCAAGGAGGUUUGAGGCAAUAACAGGUCUGUGAUGCCCUUAGAUAUCCUGGGCCGCACGCGUCAUACGAUGACCAGUUCAGAAAGUUUCAUCCUGAUCCGGAAGGAUACGGGUAAUCUUGACAGUACUGGUCGUGUUAGGGAUCGAUCUUUGCAAUUAUAGAUUUUGAACGAGGAAUUCCUAGUAAGUGCAGUUCAUCAGACUGUACUGAUUACGUCCCUGCUCUUUGUACACACCGCCCGUCGCUUCUACCGAGUGAGUGGUCCGGUGAAAUACUUGAAUUUGGCUGGAUUUAUUCGGUCGGAGAAGAUUAUCAAACCUAUCCACUUCGAGGAAGAAGAAGUCGUAACAAGGUAGCCGUA
rnacentral:rRNA from 1 species